rnacentral:sRNA from 1 species
UUGAUGAUUAGUAAAAUCGAUUGUUUGGAUCACCUUUAUC